CUUUCUUGCCUGGAUCUUCUCUCCUCAUUACUAAGUUGAUUUCCCCGUGCAUAAACAUCAUCACGUCCCCUACGAUGUGAAUAACUUUCCUCCUCCAUUCUAUCCCUUCUCUUCUGCAGUUCACUUGUUCCGAACUGCAUCUUUUAGUUGGUACUCUUUGUCAGAACCUCUGUAUUCAUCCUUCACCCUAGACUGGCCAAUCCAUGCUUUAUCAUCUGCACCACGCCCAGUCCUUA
rnacentral:misc_RNA from 1 species